CAACAGUGUCCGAAACCCGGGCAGGAAAGACCCUCUCGUCGAAUGGCUCUCCCCCCUUCUUCUGCUUUUGUCUGAGCCCAAGACUGGCUUCCAGAAAAACCGCACAUGAAUCUUGCUCCUCCUUCCAGUCAAGCCGCGCUGGCACACAAGCAGAUGGAGUCUCGCUCUGUCGCCCAGGCUGGAGUGCAGCGGUUCAAGCAAAUCUGCCUCAGCCUCCGGAGUAGCUGGGAUUACAGGCGCCCCCCAACCACACCCAGCUAAUUUUUGUAUUUUUAGUGGAGAUGGGGUUUCGCCAUGUUGACCAGGCUGGUCUCAAACUCCUGACUUUAGGUGAUCCACCCACCUCAACCUCCCAAAGUGCUGGGAUUACAGGUGUGAGCCACUGUGCCCAGCUACAGUGGUACUUCAAUUUUUUUUUAAUGCCUAUGGUGGAAUGGCAGGAAUAGCUUCUUUGAUGUGGAACACUUUGCACUGGUGAAAGCCUCGCGGGGGAAGUGUGGAUGUGAAGGGCCUGGGAGAGGCGCUCAAAGGCUGAGAAGUGAGUGAGUAAGGAAGAGAAAGGGAAUUUGAGCUCCUGCCUCCCAACUCAAAGACUAAUGAUCUUUCCUCGUUUCUCUCCAAUUUCCCACUGUACCAUGUGGAGUUUGAGAAAGGAAUGUAAAAGAAAUUGA
rnacentral:lncRNA from 10 species